GUGAGGAAUAUUGGUCAAUGGGCGGGAGCCUGAACCAGCCAAGUCGCGUGAAGGAAGAAGGAUCUAUGGUUCGUAAACUUCUUUUGCAGGGGAAUAAAGUGCAGGACGUGUCCUGUUUUGUAUGUACCCUGAGAAUAAGGAUCGGCUAACUCCGUGCCAGCAGCCGCGGUAAUACGGAGGAUCCGAGCGUUAUCCGGAUUUAUUGGGUUUAAAGGGUGCGUAGGUGGUUUGAUAAGUCAGCGGUGAAAGUUUGCAGCUUAACUGUAAAAAUGCCGUUGAAACUGUCGGACUUGAGUGUAAAUGAGGUAGGCGGAAUGCGUGGUGUAGCGGUGAAAUGCAUAGAUAUCACGAAGAACUCCGAUUGCGAAGGCAGCUUACUAAGCUACAACUGACACUGAAGCACGAAAGCGUGGGGAUCAAACAGGAUUAGAAACCCCAGUAGUCC
rnacentral:rRNA from 1 species